UGGGGAAUAUUGCGCAAUGGGGGGAACUCUGACGCAGCCAUGCCGCGUGAAUGAAGAAGGCCUUAGGGUUGUAAAGUUCUUUCGGUAUUGAGGAAGGUUGAUGUGUUAAUAGCACAUCAAAUUGACGUUAAAUACAGAAGAAGCACCGGCUAACUCCGUGCCAGCAGCCGCGGUAAUACGGAGGGUGCGAGCGUUAAUCGGAAUAACUGGGCGUAAAGGGCACGCAGGCGGUUAUUUAAGUGAGGUGUGAAAGCCCCGGGCUUAACCUGGGAAUUGCAUUUCAGACUGGGUAACUAGAGUACUUUAGGGAGGGGUAGAAUUCCACGUGUAGCGGUGAAAUGCGUAGAGAUGCGGAGGAAUACCGAAGGCGAAGGCAGCCCCUUGGGAAUGUACUGACGCUCAUGUGCGAAAGCGUGGGGAGCAAACAGGAUUAGAUACCCUGGUAGUCCACGUUGUAAACGCUGUCGAUUUGGGGGUUGGGGUUUAACUCUGGCGCCCGUAGCUAACGUGAUAAAUCGACCGCCUGGGGAGUACGGCCGCAAGGUUA
rnacentral:rRNA from 1 species